GAUGAACGCUAGCGGGAGGCCUAACACAUGCAAGCCGAGCGGUAUUAUUUCUUCGGAAAUGAGAGAGCGGCGUACGGGUGCGGAACACGUGUGCAACCUGCCUUUAUCUGGGGGAUAGCCCUUCGAAAGGAAGAUUAAUACUCCAUAAUAUAUUGAACGGCAUCGUUUAAUAUUGAAAGCUCCGGCGGAUAGAGAUGGGCACGCGCAAGAUUAGCUAGUUGGUGAGGUAACGGCUCACCAAGGCGAUGAUCUUUAGGGGGCCUGAGAGGGUGAUCCCCCACACUGGUACUGAGACACGGACCAGACUCCUACGGGAGGCAGCAGUGAGGAAUAUUGGUCAAUGGGUGCAAGCCUGAACCAGCCAUCCCGCGUGAAGGACGACUGCCCUAUGGGUUGUAAACUUCUUUUGUAUAGGGAUAAACCUACUCUCGUGAGGGUAGCUGAAGGUACUAUACGAAUAAGCACCGGCUAACUCCGUGCCAGCAGCCGCAGUAAGAC
rnacentral:rRNA from 1 species